AACGAACGCUGGCGGCAUACCUAACACAUGCAAGUCGAACGAGACCUUCGGGUCUAGUGGCGCACGGGUGCGUAACGCGUGGGAACCUGCCCUUAGGUUCGGAAUAACUCCCCGACAGGGGUGCUAAUACCGGAUAAUGUCUUCGGACCAAAGAUUUAUCGCCUUUGGAUGGGCCCGCGUUGGAUUAGCUAGUUGGUAGGGUAAAAGCCUACCAAGGCGACGAUCCAUAGCUGGUCUGAGAGGAUGAUCAGCCACACUGGGACUGAGACACGGCCCAGACUCCUACGGGAGGCAGCAGUGGGGAAUAUUGGACAAUGGGCGAAAGCCUGAUCCAGCAAUGCCGCGUGAGUGAUGAAGGCCUUAGGGUUGUAAAGCUCUUUUACCCGGGAUGAUAAUGACAGUACCGGGAGAAUAAGCUCCGGCUAACUCCGUG
rnacentral:rRNA from 1 species